AAGUCGUAACAAGGUUUCCGUAGGUGAACCUGCGGAAGGAUCAUUCAAGUUGAAACAUAAAUCAACACCACAUUUGUAAACUAGUCUUUUAACCUUUUGGUUUUUUGUUUGUUUAUUGGUUUUUUUGUUGGCUGCGGUUUUUUCUAAUAAUUUCUUUCGUUUCUUGGGUUUAGUAAAACCGAAAAAAUGAAUCAAAAAUGAACAGAAAAUAACUGCUACCUGAUACUCUACAUAAUACUACCCAUAUUUUACCAACUUUAUGUAAUAAACUAUUACAACUUUUAACGAUGGAUCCCUCGGCUCUCA
rnacentral:misc_RNA from 1 species